rnacentral:rRNA from 1 species
AUUGAACGCUGGCGGCAUGCCUUACACAUGCAAGUCGAACGGCAGCGCGGACUUCGGUCUGGCGGCGAGUGGCGAACGGGUGAGUAACAUAUCGGAACGUGCCCUGGAGUGGGUGAUAACUAGUCGAAAGACUAGCUAAUACCGCAUACGAUCUACGGAUGAAAGUGGGGGAUCGCAAGACCUCAUGCUCGUGGAGCGGCCGAUAUCUGAUUAGCUAGUUGGUGGGGUAAAGGCCUACCAAGGCAUCGAUCAGUAGCUGGUCUGAGAGGACGACCGGCCACACUGGGACUGAGACACGGCCCAGACUCCUACGGGAGGCAGCAGUGGGGAAUUUUGGACAAUGGGGGCAACCCUGAUCCAGCAAUGCCGCGUGAGUGAAGAAGGCCUUCGGGUUGUAAAGCUCUUUUGUCAGGGAAGAAACGGUCCGGGCUAAUAUCCUGGGCUAAUGACGGUACCUGAAGAAUAAGCACCGGCUAACUACGUGCCAGCCGCCGCCGUAA